UUUCCGUAGGUGAACCUGCGGAAGGGUCAUUAUUGAAUGAACUUGGUAGAUUGUAGCUGGCCAUUUCCGUGGCAUGUGCACGUCUAUCAUUUUUAAUCUUUCCACCUGUGCACGUUUUGUAGAUCAUUGAAUUACCUAUCCAAGGUGACUUGGGGAUGGGGAUUGCUGUGUAGAAAUACUUGGCUUUCCUUGGAUUUUCAAGAUCUAUGUUUUUUUCAUAUACACCAUAAAAAUGUUAUAGAAAGUUAUUAUAUUGGCACCAGUGGCCUAUAAAAAGUAUAUACAACUUUCAGCAACGGAUCUCUUGGUUCUC
rnacentral:misc_RNA from 1 species